GACGAACGCUGGCGGCGUGCUUAACACAUGCAAGUCGAGCGGUAAGGCCCUUUCGGGGGUACACGAGCGGCGAACGGGUGAGUAACACGUGGGUGACCUGCCCUCAGCUCUGGGAUAAGCCCGGGAAACUGGGUCUAAUACUGGAUAUUACUCUGCGGUGCAUGCCGUGGGGUGGAAAGCCUUGUGCGGCUGGGGAUGGGGCCCGCGGCCCUAUCAGCUUGUUGGUGGGGUGAUGGCCACCAAGGCGACGACGGGUAGCCGGCCUGAGAGGGCGACCGGCCACACUGGGACUGAGACACGGCCCAGACUCCUACGGGAGGCAGCAGUGGGGAAUCUUGCGCAAUGGGCGAAAGCCUGACGCAGCGACGCCGCGUGAGGGAUGACGGCCU
rnacentral:rRNA from 1 species